AAAAUUUACUGUGUAAAUCAUUUUAUGCCUACGGUCAGUGACAUCCAGUUUAUUGAAAUUCUUGUGCAAAAGAUCUCCAGAACUUUCCCAUUCUGUUAGCCAACAACUCUAUGCCCAUUAAACAUAAAUCUUCUUUCUUUUUUCUAUUAUUUUAUUCUGAAAUAAUUUCAAACCCACAGGAUACUGCGUCCCUAGCAACUUUAUUGCCUGGAAGGACCUGAGAUAAACUGCACUACGUUUCCUGCAGAAGAAGCCCUUCUUGCAUAUCCACCACACAGCCAUAUAAGCCAGGACGUUAACAGCGAAGCGUCAACGUGCCCGUGCCCUCGUCCACUGAUCCUCUUCAGCUUUCUCCAGCCCUUCUGGGCUUUUGGGCUCAGGUUUUCCAAAGGAAGGAAUGGAAGUCAUAAGAGGGAGAGGAAAAGGGAAGGCAAAUGGAAAGGCAGGAAAGAAACUUACCCUAUGCAUCUAACAGCAGGAUUUGCUUUUGACUGCAAACCAGGUCAAACAAAAAUGACUUCCAACAAGGUGUUGACCAAUGAACGUCGCAGAAACACUGAAAGAAGGGAGGAAUUGACAAAUAACUUCAUUCUGAGAAAUACUCACUAAUACUAAUAUUGUCUUCGCCUUCCUAGUGACUACUAAGGAUUUCAAAUUUGCAAAAUGGAGGGUAGGUUGAUGGGAGAAGGAGUAUUAAAUAGCUGGUGGUAACUGAAU
rnacentral:lncRNA from 1 species